rnacentral:rRNA from 1 species
UGACCCGUCAUGAAACACGGACCAAGGAGUCUAGCAUGUGCGCGAGUCAUUGGGACACGACUAAACCUAAAGGCGCAAUGAAAGUGAAAGUUCGUCUUGCACGGACCUAGGGAGGAUGGGCGGCAGGUCUGUGUUACGCAGGUCUUCGCUCCGCACUCCCGGGGCGUCUCGUUCUCAUUGCGAGAAGAGGCGCACCAAGAGCGUACACGCUGGGACCCGAAAGAUGGUGAACUAUGCCUGGUCAGGACGAAGCCAGGGGAAACCCUGGUGGAGGUCCGUAGCGAUUCUGACGUGCAAAUCGAUCGU